GAGGACUCCAGCAGCAGCAACACCCAGGAACUGACCAGCACCGUAAUGAACGAGUGAAAAACUGAAUGAGGGCCAUGAUGCUCGGAAGCAUUUGUUGAGUCUGCAGAAACGACACUGGUUCCUCUUAUCUUUAUCCACAAUGCACUGCCUGCUGAACCUGCAUGUGAUGGACGUGUCAUGAUAUCGCACAGUUACUGCUGACUCCGUCUGGACCGGGCAGACUUGGCUCUGUUGGCAUGCUGUCUGACACGCGCAGAAGAAAAACAUUCACACUGGCAAAAUGGAUGACGAACGGGACUGUGGAUAGCACCAUCACCCACACCGCCGCGCUGACCAGGAGCGCGUGGAUGCUGCGAAAAG